rnacentral:rRNA from 1 species
UACGUAGGGGGCGAGCGUUGUCCGGAUUUAUUGGGCGUAAAGAGCGUGUAGGCGGCCAGGUAGGUCCGUUGUGAAAACUCGAGGCUCAACCUCGAGACGCCGAUGGAAACCAUCUGGCUAGAGUCCGGAAGAGGAGAGUGGAAUUCCCGGUGUAGCGGUGAAAUGCGCAGAUAUCGGGAGGAACACCUGUGGCGAAAGCGGCUCACUGGACCACAACUGACGCUGAUGCGCGAAAGCGUGGGGAGCAAACAGG